UCCCUGGUGGUCCAGUGGUUAGGACUCUGCACUUUCACUGCUGGGGCCCAGGUUCAGUCCCUGGUAGGGGAA
rnacentral:tRNA from 1 species